rnacentral:rRNA from 1 species
UACGAAGGGGGCUAGCGUUGCUCGGAAUCACUGGGCGUAAAGAGCGCGCAGGCGGUCGUUCAAGUCGCGUGUGAAAGCCCCCGGCUCAACUGGGGAGGGUCACGCGAUACUGAUCGACUGGAAGGCAGGAGAGGGUAGUGGAAUUCCCGGUGUAGUGGUGAAAUGCGUAGAUAUCGGGAGGAACACCAGUGGCGAAGGCGACUACCUGGCCUGUUCUUGACGCUGAGGCGCGAAAGCUAGGGGAGCAAACGGGG